GGUCCGGUAGCUCAGCUGGAUAGAGCAACAGCCUUCUAAGCUGUGGGUCAGGGGUUCGAAUCCCCUCCGGUUCA
rnacentral:tRNA from 1 species